ncrna:unclassified sequences DTF805b RNA
UAGGCGGAUUCCGAAAAGCCUGGAAUAGAGUAGGAA